GCAGUGGUGGCUCAAUGGUUAAGGCUCUGGGUUGCUCAUCAGAAGGUCGGGGGUUCAAGCCCCUGCACUGUC